GCAAAACCUUACUGAUAAUAUCUACUAAUUAAUGACAACCAUUUCAGUGCAUCCAAUACAUCGCUUGAAGUUUCAGUUUUCAAAACAAAAAUGAUUGCUAUGAUUAACAAGUUUUAUGAGACCAAAUAUAAGAUGUAGUGACGGCCUUAAACAGGCCCCGGAUCACAUUGUCAUCCUUAUUGUUGAGCUCUGAAGUAGUUUGCCCUGCACAAGCCCCAUCAAACUGAUAUCACUCUGUACAUUCUCUCAUUGUUUCUUUAACUCAUCUCUGUAUGGUCACGAUGCUUCUGUAUUGAUGGAUUUCAGCUUCUGCGUAUAAAAUGCUGUUCCAAAGAAUGUGUAUGAAAUCCUCUCAUGUCCUUUGCAUUGGUCCAAAGCACUCAAUAAAAUAACUAACACCAUAUCGGGAAAUCUCAUUGGGAACAGACAGCUGAAAAGUGCCUCCCGGUGUCCAUCAGCUGCAUUUGAGAAAACAACUGUCUGUUUUAAAGAUUCUCUGUGGUCUAAGAUGGAUUCAGUCACGUACAGAGUUGAUUCACAGAGCAGGACAUUUAACACAUUAGCCAAGCUCCCCUCAGUACUAAAGCCUUCAAUAUAGUCAUCAAUCCAAACCACAACGCUCACACGCUGCACAUUCCCAGCAUGCAAUGGACUUCACCCAUGGUCUUGAAUAUAGUAAGUAACCAGUCACCACAUCCCCGUCCAACUGUUUAGAAAACCACCUUUACUACAGCGUUUAACUCAUCUUAAAACAUGCAAAGAAAGAGGGAAAAAAAGUGGAGGAAGACUGAAGGAAUGAAGCUACCUGCUAAAAUCCAGGUUUAUGUUGCACUCUUUUUUUCCUAAUAGUAUUGUGUGGACGAUGUAAAAGAUGUACGAAUGUGUUCAGAUGAUCUGAUUUGGAGCUUUAUGCUCAUUUGAAAGUGACUGCACUGAUUUGACAGAAGAGCUGCCUUUACACAAACUACAUUACUCAUUUAGAUUGUAUAUCUUGCAUUUAGAAAGAGGUAUAUAAUAUUAGGUAAAAUAGGGGGAAAUUUGCAUCCAGAAUCCACAAUAUCAGUAAAGGACUUGCCUAGUGCCACAUAUAUCUCACAUGACCGUGAGAAGCUUUAGACGGAUUGCUGUAAACCCAACACUGGCCGUCCUUUGAACAGCAUGCUGCUAACAUAAACCUGAGCAUUUAGACGUGUGGGUUAAGCUGAAGAACAGAAUUAUCAGAUAAAAUGUUUAAAAAUGGCACUGGAUAAGGCCUUUUAAGUAAUUCUACCCUUUAGCUGUUUCAGACGGUUCUGUAAUCUGUUGACCGGUCGCGAGGUCUCUCUCUAUCUCUCUCCUCCGUUUCAUUUCCCGCCUCUGCUCUUCUCUUCACAGUUCUUCAUUUUAGCUUGAGAGUUGUGAUUGUCUUUAUCGUAAUGUGUUUUAUUAAUUGGUUUACACUGAUACUCCUUGCUGUAAACGUGAAUUUGGAAAUAAAGUCCGUAUUAAACUGC